CCUACGGGAGGCUGCAGUGGGGAAUAUUGGACAAUGGGGGGAACCCUGAUCCAGCCAUGCCGCGUGUGUGAAGAAGGCCCUCGGGUUGUAAAGCACUUUCAGUGAGGAAGAACGCCUGGUGGUUAAUACCCAUCAGGAAAGACAUCACUCACAGAAGAAGCACCGGCUAACUCCGUGCCAGCAGCCGCGGUAAUACGGAGGGUGCGAGCGUUAAUCGGAAUUACUGGGCGUAAAGCGCGCGUAGGUGGCUUGAUAAGCCGGUUGUGAAAGCCCCGGGCUCAACCUGGGAACGGCAUCCGGAACUGUCGAGCUAGAGUGCAGGAGAGGAAGGUAGAAUUCCCGGUGUAGCGGUGAAAUGCGUAGAGAUCGGGAGGAAUACCAGUGGCGAAGGCGGCCUUCUGGACUGACACUGACACUGAGGUGCGAAAGCGUGGGUAGCAAACAGGAUUAGAUACCCGUGUAGUC
rnacentral:rRNA from 1 species